UAGGAACAAAACCGAGGCGUGUUUCCGCACAAUCAGAAGGCGACUGGCGCCUUGUCAACCAGACGCAGGGUGGUGGCGGGAGCCGAACCCGUUUGUCUCUGUACCGCCAGCCAGGGCUGGGCUGACCCUGCAGGUGCCGGCGUUAAUUCAUGUCACACCUCGCGCCUCCAUCCUGCGUGGUAUGAAAACUAGGCGCCAAUUUCGUAAUAAAGACUUGUUUCCGACGAGGCCUGGUUUGGGGUGGGGGCACAGAUCUUCAUUAGGGCCCCAUUCCCGGGCCACGCUCGUUACAGAGCACAGGUACUGGCUAAAUGUGUCCGAUCAUUCAUCAUGAUUUCGCCCUCCACUUUGUCACAGCGUGGGGAUUUAAGGAAGAUAGAUGGUACAAGAUGUUGUCUCCUCCGCAGACGCUUUCUGCUCUGGUUGACCUGAAUGGUGAACCCAGAAGGAAUGCCCCUCAGAAGAAACUUACGGGCCGAACCCAGGGGGAGCCCAAGCAGGGGUGCUUGAGGCACAGAACCUGGGGUGCAAGGACCUGGAGACGACAGCUGGCCAUUCUCUGAUCCCAAGAUGCUGCUGCUGGGGAGGGCCUACCCUGCCCCUUAUCCAUGUCUUUCUCCUUCCCCUCCUCAAAGUCUCCGUGGAGUAAUACAGGUCAAAGCUCACAAUUUUCCCAUCUGUAAAAUGGGGACAAGAACAUGACUUCCUCCUGGCAUGUUGCAGGUGUUCUGUCCACCCAGGUGUCCCCUCCCUACCUCCUCUCUCUCUGGUUCCUGGCCGCUGGAAGUCCCUCGUUCACCUUUGACCCAUUUCCCAUGGGCCUGACUGGCUGUGCUGCGGGGUUUCUGUGACCCUGGGCUUCCGGGCUGGCAUCCACAGAGGGUCUGCCGACGGGGCAGUCUGCAUGAGACGGUGGAGGCCUGGCUGCCCCUCCAUGCUCUGUGUCCCUUUGUGAACAGCACCCUGGGGAAGUGCACCCGUUCCCGAAGCUAACACCCCAGACCUUUCCAAGUCCUACUCCUGCCAGCCCUGGGCUGAGCCCUGGGACACAGUCUCUGCCCGUCAGGAGCUCCCAGUCCAGUGGCGGGGAAGAAAAGUGGGCGGACCAUUACUCUAGCACAUACCACUGUGGGGCCAAGGCCCAGGCCAGGAGUCCCCAGUAGCCCCUAUUUCCAGCCCGACCAAAGCUGGUGCUUUUCACCCAGCGCCUCCCAGGUCUGCAUUGCUACCCAAGGAGGGCUGUGCUGCUCUCACCCCCAUGGUGCAGCUGAGAAAACUGCAGAGAAGGAUUGUGCUCAAGGACAUCUAGGGAACGGGUCGCGAAGCAGGGAUUCGAACCCGCGUGAAACUUCGCCUUUGUGGACAUGGUGGAAGUAGCUGAUUGCCUCAUUGGUGGAACUUCCGUGAUGGACACCCAUUGUAUCCAAUCAGAGCUCAGCCCCAUCCCGGCUCUGGUCUUUCUCCUGGGACAGCUUCUGGAGUCUUCUCAAACUCCUGAGCCGCCCACCCCACCCCCGCCCUGCCGCAUUCUGGCCAUGCUUCUAGUCCCCACCCAGUUAGUCCCCCCAAAUCUGUGAUUCCAUGAAGGUGCAUGGUUAAAGUACAUUUGGCUUUUUUUUUCUCCCUUAGUUUAUCAGUUUUCUUUUAUGGCCUGUCUCCCACUCAUUCACUCAUUCACUCAUUCACUCAUCAUUUGCUCAUUUGGCAAACACUAAGGACCUGUUAUGUGCUAGCUCUGUGUGGUGACAUCAAACCCAGCAGGGCCCUCACCAGACACCCUGAAGAAGGAGGGCCCACAGGAAUCUUAUGAGAUGGUGGAUCUUGGGGAGCCAAGGGAACGGGGACCUCAGCUGGUCUGCAGAGGAGUGGGGUCAGUGCUACUCAUCACCCAGAGGCCCUCCUGCCUAGAAGCAGCAGCGGGGCCCUUCCCUCCAGCCCCCAAGCACUGCCCUGGAUUGGUCCACAUCCCCUCCCUAGCACUGUGACUCCGGCCUCCUCUUGCCUCCAGAUUAC
ensembl:lncRNA